CAUAAUCGGGACAUAGUACGAUAAGGUUGUAUGUCUAAAGGGAAACAGCCCAGAACAAGAGUUAAUAAGGUUCCAAAAUUAUUGUUAAGUGAAAUUAAGGGCAGUAUUUAUCCAAAUCGGCCAGGGAAUAGGCUUAGAAGCGGCCAUUUUCUGAAGACCUCGUAACAGAGCACUGGUCUUGUUUUAAUGAUAAUAGGGAUAAAAGCACCGAAAAUUUAACGGAUCUAAACAAUAUACCGAGACCUUGUCCAAAUAUAUUAAUGUAUCUAAAUUUUACAUUGUAUAUUAGGGGUAGCGGAACAUUGGGGAAGUUUCUUAUUAUGCCUUUAUAAGGCAUAAAAUAAUUAACAACCCAAGCGAGAAUGCUGACAUGAGUAACGAUAAAGGGGAAUACCCUCGCCUAAAGCUUAUGGAAUUUAAUUAAAGUUACGGCCUCUAAGUUUAUUAUAAAUGAAUAAUCUGUUAUUUAUUAAUAAUCCCAAAGGGGGUAAACGAUGAGCAAAUCUAAGAUUUAUAGAAAAUAUCAUUUUUACAUAGUGACAAAUGAUCUGGAAAACUGUAUAUCUCAUUUGCUAAAUAUGAAUAAACUAAAACCAGAUGAUAUGUUUAGCAGAUGGUUACCGUACCUAAAUACU
rnacentral:rRNA from 1 species